UUUAUAUACUAGUUAUAUUUUGCAUAUCAGGAAUUGAAAGCUGUGGACUUUUAGCCAACCUUCCACUAUGUCACAUUGGAAGCCUGCAGAUUAACUAAUGCAAAUAAAUGACUGCUAGCUAUCCUGCCAUAUACAAUACAAAAUCCUCUGGGCUUUAGCACCAAGGCCGAGAAUGGUAAGCCCACCUAACUUGAAAAAGAGAAGCAUGUAAAUAUGACAAAAUUGAUCACAUUUCACGCGACUAGAGGAAGUAAUUAAUUGAGAUGUCAGGCUGCCGGUAGUGUACACAUCGGGGCCACUUAUCAAUAUUCUUUGGACCGGACAAAUGGCUUUAUAUAUACAUCUCAUAUU
rnacentral:lncRNA from 1 species